AUUGAACGCUGGCGGAAUGCUUUACACAUGCAAGUCGAGCGGCAGCGCGGCCUUCGGGCUGGCGGCGAGCGGCGAACGGGUGAGUAAUGCAUCGGAACAUGCCCAGUCGUGGGGGAUAACACUUCGAAAGAAGUGCUAAUACCGCAUACGUCCUGAGGGGGAAAGCGGGGGAUCGCAAGACCUCGCGCGAUUGGAGUGGCCGAUGUCAGAUUAGCUAGUUGGUGGGGUAAAGGCCUACCAAGGCGACGAUCUGUAGCUGGUCUGAGAGGAUGAUCAGCCACACUGGGACUGAGACACGGCCCAGACUCCUACGGGAGGCAGCAGUGGGGAAUUUUGGACAAUGGGGGCAACCCUGAUCCAGCCAUUCCGCGUGAGUGAAGAAGGCCUCCGGGUUGUAAAGCUCUUUCGGCAGGAACGAAACGGUGGGCUCUAACAUAGUCCGCUAAUGACGGUACCUGAAGAAGAAGCACCGGCUAACUACGUG
rnacentral:rRNA from 1 species